UUCCGGUUGAUCCUGCCGGAGGCUACCGCUAUUGGAGUUCGAUUAAGCCAUGCGAGUCGCGAGUCUUAGGGACUCGGCGUACCGCUCAGUAACACGUGGGUAACCUGCCCUAUGCUGGGGGAUAACCUCGGGAAACUGAGAAUAAUACCCCAUAGUUCACCACGCCUGGAACGGUGGGUGGAUGAAAGCUCCGGCGGCAUAGGAUGGGCCUGCGGCGUAUCAGGUUGUAGGGGGUGUAAUGUACCCUCUAGCCAUCUACGCGUACGGGUGUUGGGAGACAUCGCCCGGAGAUGGAUUCUGAGACACGAAUCCAGACCCUACGGGGUGCAGCAGGCGCGAAAACUUGGCAAUGCGAGCAAUCGUGACCAGGGAACUCCAAGUGCAUCGGGUAAGACCGAUGCUUUUCUUGACUCUUCAAAGGUCUUGGAAUAAGGGGUGGGUAAGGACGGUGCCAGCCGCCGCGGUAAUACCGGCGCCUCAAGUGGUAGUCGCUUUUAUUGGGCCUAAAACGUCCGUAGCCGGUUUGGUACAUUCGUGGGUAAAUCAAGGCGCUCAACGUCUUGAAUUCUGCGAGCACGGCCAGACUUGGGACCGGGUGAGGUGUGGGGUACUCUCAGGGUAGGGGUAAAAUCCUGUCAUCCUGAGAGGACCACCUGUUGCGAAGGCGCCACACUAGAACGGAUCCGACGGUCAGGGACGAAGCCUAGGGGCACGAACCGGAUUAGAUACCCGGGUAGUCCUAGGUGUAAACGCUGUGGACUUGAUGUUGGGAGUGCUCCGAGCACCCUCAGUGUCGAAGCGAAGGUGAUAAGUCCACUGCCUGGGGAGUACGGUCGCAAGGCUGAAACUUAAAGGAAUUGGCGGGGGAGCACUGCAACCUGAGGAUUGUGCGGUUUAAUUGGAAUCAACGCCGGA
rnacentral:rRNA from 1 species